AUUGAACGCUGGCGGCAUGCUUUACACAUGCAAGUCGAACGGUAACAGGCCUUCGGGUGCUGACGAGUGGCGAACGGGUGAGUAAUGCAUCGGAACGUACCCAGAGGUGGGGGAUAACGCAGCGAAAGCUGUGCUAACACCGCAUGUGAUCUGAGGAUGAAAGCGGGGGACCGAGCAGCAAUGUUUGGCCUCGCGCCUUUGGAGCGGCCGAUGUCGGAUUAGCUAGUUGGUGGGGUAAAGGCCUACCAAGGCGACGAUCCGUAGCUGGUCUGAGAGGACGACCAGCCACACUGGGACUGAGACACGGCCCAGACUCCUACGGGAGGCAGCAGUGGGGAAUUUUGGACAAUGGGCGCAAGCCUGAUCCAGCAAUGCCGCGUGCGGGAAGAAGGCCUUCGGGUUGUAAACCGCUUUUGGCAGGAACGAAACGGUGUCCGCUAAUACCGGGCGCUAAUGACGGUACCUGCAGAAUAAGCACCGGCUAACUACGUG
rnacentral:rRNA from 1 species